rnacentral:rRNA from 1 species
CCGUCUUGAAACACGGACCAAGGAGUCUAGCAUGUGCGCGAGUCAUUGGGAUGCAAUGCUAAACCUAAAGGCGAAAUGAAAGUGAAGGCGCGCCUCGCGCGCGCCGAGGGAGGAUGGGCGGGAUUCUCGUCCAAACGCCCCGCACUCCCGGGGCGUCUCGUUCUCAUCGCGAGAAGAGGCGCACCCAGAGCGUACACGCUGGGACCCGAAAGAUGGUGAACUAUGCCUGGUCAGGACGAAGUCAGGGGAAACCCUGAUGGAGGUCCGUAGCGAUUCUGACGUGCAAAUCGAUCGUCGGAACUGGGUAUAGGGGCGAAAGACUAAUCGAACCAUCUAGUAGCUGGUUCCCUCCGAAGUUUCCCUCAGGAUAGCUGGCGCUCGCAUUUUGCGAGUCUCAUCCGGUAAAGCGAAUGAUUAGAGGCAUUGGGGUCGAAACGGCCUCAACCUAUUCUCAAACUUUAAAUGGGUGAGAUCUCCGGCUUGCUUAAAUCUAAUUUAUGAAGCCGCGAGAUCGGAUCAGAGUGCCAAGUGGGCCACUUUUGGUAAGCAGAACUGGCGCUGUGGGAUGAACCAAACGCGGAGUUAAAGCGCCUAAAUCGACGCUUAUGGGAUACCAUGAAAGGCGUUGGUAACUUAAGACAGCAGGACGGUGGCCAUGGAAGUCGGAAUCCGCUAAGGAGUG